rnacentral:rRNA from 1 species
AAUAGAUAUCCCAUACCGUAUGGUAUCGGAAGGCACCUCGUAGACUACGAGGUUGAUAGGUCCCAAGUGUAAGUCCCGUAAAGGGAUUAAGCGGAGGGAUACUAAUCUGCCGAGAGGCUUGACCAU